AAGAAACUGGCGAUCAUCAACUGCUGGAAAAACUGAAGGCCAGGUUGCUAGAUGCGAUGGGAGACAGUAGCCCUGCUGAAGAGCUGAUACACUUGCAGUUUCCUAUUACGUUGCUCAUGGGACGAAAGGAAGAACAUUAGUCACUGAAGCUGAUAUUUAGGUGUUACCUUCUCCAUGGUGUAUAGCAUAAAUGGCUCAAUGCUUAAUUUAAAAAAAUUUUAUAAAAAAAAUUUGCUUUAAAUAUUGAUGUUUGAUUUCGUUUCAGUUUGGUUAGUUAGUCGUGUAACGCGAUUGAAUGCGUAGAAGAGAGAGAGUUAAUCAACGAGAUCCAAGCUUUAUUGUUCACACUGUAAUGGCGUCUACAAACCGGCUGUUUAACCAAACUGCUGCUAAUGGGCAGCUCAUUGUAAAGGCGUCCUGUGGUUGGCUGCUGCGAGAUCACACCACUGAGUGGGUGUAUCCAACUUUACCAGCUAGGCUAUACAAUACGUGAUCUACAUAAAUGUAUACACGUUACAGGUCGUUGCUCAAAACAAUUAGUUACAAGUAAAAUGUAUAAUAAUUCAUAAUAAAGUCCUUGAAACUGCCAAGCAUGUUUUCUCAAAUCUAGAUUUAGCAGUUGUAAAACGAGAUAUUACAUAGAUUUAUUAGAUGUAACAAAGUUGUAAGAUAACAGUUUGAAUAUUUAUUUAUGAUAUAACAUGUAUAUAAUAAUGAUGGCUUGGUUCUAGUCCAUAUUGCGUUAAAUUUGGAAAGUGUAACGUUCUCUAGUCUACAUGUAAACAGCGCUAGAAGUUUUAACUAAUUUUCUUUUAAUUCAAUUUAAUUUAUACUGUGCUUAGGUAACUUAUCAGCUGUAUUAUUUAGUCAAUGUUUACCUGUCAUGAAGCCCAAUGCACAGUAUGAUUACAACCCUAGAACUUAGGCUUUGCAGUAUGUGUAUCCUACCAAUUAUUCUAGGUAAUUACGGUCAGUAACCAGUUAAGACUCGAGCAAUCUAUAAAUUGUGCAAAACAACAAAAAAUCCAUUAAUUGCACAGUGCUUUCUGUGUAGCAUAAUAUAGGCAUAUAUAUAAGAUGGCAAUCAUUUUUUACGUGUAUUUUGAAGGCUUUUGUACAGCAAUGACAGUCAGGCAACCAUAUGUUUUUCUCAUUCCUUCUUUCUCGUCUAUUAAUGCCUCAAGUUUGUUGCUCUCUUUCAAGUCAUGCAGCCUUUGGAAAUAUGUCUCCAUGUAAUUUGUA